rnacentral:rRNA from 1 species
CAGCAGCCGCGGGAAUACGGGGGGGGCAAGUGUUAUUCGGAAUGACUGGGCGUAAAGGGCACGUAGGCGGUGAAAAGGGUGGAAAGUGAAAGUCGCCAAAACACUGGCGGGGUGCUUUCUUGACCAUUUCACUUGAGUGAGAUAGGGGAGAGUGGAAUUUCGUGUGGAGGGAUCAAAUCCUAAGAUAUACGAAGGAACGCCAACCGCGAAGGCAGCUCUCUGGGUCCCCACUGACGCUGGGGUGCGAAAGCAUGGGGAGCAAACAGGAUCAGAGACCCGAGUAGUCCCUGUCUCUUAUACA